UACGUAGGGGGCAAGCGUUGUCCGGAAUCAUUGGGCGUAAAGCGUGCGCAGGCGGUGAUGUAAGACAGGUGUGAAAUCCCCGGGCUUAACCUGGGAACUGCAUUUGUGACUGCAUCGCUGGAGUGCGGCAGAGGGGGAUGGAAUUCCGCGUGUAGCAGUGAAAUGCGUAGAUAUGCGGAGGAACACCGAUGGCGAAGGCAAUCCCCUGGGCCUGCACUGACGCUCAUGCACGAAAGCGUGGGGAGCAAACAGG
rnacentral:rRNA from 1 species